CAAUUAUGUGAACCGUUGCAAUGUUUUGGCUUUCCCGCCCACUGAAAAUUUUGCCUCUUUCUCUCAUAAAUCAAAAAUUCACUCAAAUUAUUUUUUAUUUUAUUUUUCUAUAGAGUUUAUCUUUCCCCCAGAUUUCACAAACUCUCCUCCGGUGAAUCGCAAAUCCUCCGCCGAAUCGCAUAUAUGGAACCACAAACCCCUCCGUCGAAUCCCUAAUCGAAGAACCUCAAACCCCUUCGUUGUUCUCCUUCGUUCAAUCCAUCAAUAUCUAUGUCGUUCUUCUUCAAUUCCUCCGCCAUUCUCCUUUAAUCCUCCGCCUUUCUUCGUCGUUCUCCGCGGUUCCAAGAAUCCUUUUUCACUCUUGAGGCUUGUAUUCAUGAGUUUUACUAUGGGUUGGAGCAUUUCAAGUACUGGAGGAUUUUCCCGACGGGUUUUACUCGCUCAAGCCGCACAAACGGGUACCUGAAGCUUGAAGUUUCGUUUUCCUUUUUAGUUCCAGAAGUUCCCUUGACACAUGAGGUUGGAAGUUUGGAUUGAAAAGAAUUAUAAGACGAGAUUCAAUUGGAGCACUAGACUAGAUUGGAGAACAAGCUUUAGAUGUAGACUAUGUUGUGGUUGUAAUAAUCAAGUGUUGAGAGAGCUACAAUUACAGAGGUGAGUUCCAUAGAUAGAAAUCCUUACCAAUAUAGUCUCCCCACUAUUCUCAUGGAGAAUUGGGUUUACGGGUAGUUAGAACUAGAAACUAUUUCAUGAGAAAUUGCACUUUGAUGAGAUUGCCCCUUUAGAUUAGUUCUCUCAAAUUGUAUAGAUUUAAUGCAUGUUGUUUAUGAAUCUUGGUGACUUCCCUUGCCCUUGUUGUGCUACUAACUGUGGGCCUAAAUUGUCACUAAAAUGCAUCUAGAGUAUGGCUAAGACUGUGUGAGGAUAAUGGUACAAACUGAAUUUUUUGCAGGAAACUGGCCACCUGGGCAUUCUGCCCUCUGCGUCUGGGGCGCGGAUCACUGCGCUGGAAGCGCAAAUAACAGUGUUUCCCAGACUGUUCCUGCGCCUGGAGCUACAUCCAGCAGCCCCGUUUGCACUGUUUUGCAUUUCCGGAUGCUUUUGGGACACCGUAAUGUCCCUAAUGGAAUAAGAUCAUAUAGGAAUGACAAAUAUAGUAGUUAGCUUAAUAAAUUGCAUAGGUUGGGUAGGGAAAACAAACAGAAUACUAUGGACUAGAUGCAUUAUAAGUUAAUUCAGGACAGGGUAAGAAUAUUGACAGUUGAUCUUGAAAUGUAGUGGACUUUGGGCCACAAGUGUUAGAUUUCUAAUCCUAAAUGUCUAUGAUGAAUAAUAUGUUAAGUUGUGGUCUAUAAGGCACCAGAAAGGCUUCCUUAUGUAGGAGUUGGAGCUGGAUUGAAAUUCUAUAUAGAAUUUCACACAACGAUAAGAUGAGGUAUGACCGUACGCUUUAGCCCUGAUAUGAUAGGGAAUUUAGCCGGGUAUGUAAGGGAAUGGUUCGAGACUACUCACCUCGAAUUAUUCCGUAAAAUCAACUCAAACAAAUAAUUUUGUGUCACACUUUAUUUGCAUUAUACCGAAAAUAAUCGUGAAAUGAAUAUGUAUAUGUUUAUUAUUUUUCUUAUUCCUGUAAUUCCUAUAUAUGUUUUUGAAUACAGUGAAGCUAAUAACAAGUAUUUUUGCCUUUCUGAACCAGCAACAAGGCAAAGUUUAACAAUUUUGCAAUUUAAACAGUCUUCUUUUGGCUUAUGAGUUUUGGAAAUUUUUCCUAACAAUUUUAUUAAUAUUGCAGUGGGAAUGUCAAGUUAACUUGGUCAUAUGUAGAUGAUAGAUAUUGAAGCUUGUCAUCAUAUAUUGGCUUCAAGAAGUUGGUCCUUGAGGUGCUUAUAUAUGUUCUCUCAUGGUAUGAAAGGUAGUAUAUAAACCUUUGAUCAUAUAUUGGCUUCAUGAAACAUCGUUUAUGCCUUUGUAAGAAGAAUUGAUUGUGUUUUGUUGCAUUAUUAUUUAUUUAACUGAUGGGCGAUUGUGAAUUAUAGCUGCUGAUGUGUUCUUAUGGAAGUGUAUGAACUGUGGUUUGGGUUUUUUGAGCUGCUUGAAUAUCACUUUGUUACUCAUGCGUGUCAUUUCAAUUCUGGUUAUUGUCCUAUUGGUUUUGUGGUCCAAUGCUCAUACCUUUCUUCAUAGGGACCUUUGAAAGGUUAAAGAUGUGAGAACUUGUAGCCAAAGUUAGGGUAAAAAUUGAAUUGUGGAAAAUGGUGGUGAUUGAAGAAAGUGGAAUGGAUGUGAAGUAAAUCAGUGGUAUGAAUGUGAAGUAAAGUUUCCAACAUGCUACUAGAUGGCAGAUCAGGUAACCGAAUAAGAAGAGUCAAGCGAUGAUAGGCGUUUCUGAGUCUAGUUAACACUAAUUAAGGAUUAUGAAGCAACAUCACAUACUAGGGAUAUUUAGAUAUUUUUUGAACUUAUUGACGUAAUGUUAUAUUUAACCACUCUACUAACAUUUAUGUUAUAGUUUUUGAAUGUUUGAACUACAUUAGUUUCUUUCAUUUGGAACUUCAUGUACUUGAAUUAAAUUUUUGAUUUAUAUGAAUCUUGUCACUAUUGAAUGAAUUAUA